rnacentral:rRNA from 1 species
CAGCAGCCACGGUAAAACGUAGGUCCCGAGCGUUGUCCGGAUUUAUUGGGCGUAAAGGGAGCGCAGGCGGUUUAGUAAGUCUGAAGUUAAAGGCAUUGGCUCAACCAAUGUAUGCUUUGGAAACUGUUAGACUUGAGUGCAGAAGGGGAGAGUGGAAUUCCAUGUGUAGCGGUGAAAUGCGUAGAUAUAUGGAGGAACACCGGUGGCGAAAGCGGCUCUCUGGUCUGUCACUGACGCUGAGGCUCGAAAGCGUGGGUAGCGAACAGGAUUAGAUACCCCGGUAGUCCCUGUCUCUUAUACA